rnacentral:rRNA from 1 species
CCUACGGGAGGCAGCAGUAAGGAAUAUUGGUCAAUGGACGCAAGUCUGAACCAGCCAUGCCGCGUGAAGGAUGAAGGUCCUCUGGAUUGUAAACUUCUUUUAUUUGGGACGAAAAAAGGGUUUUCUAACUCACUUGACGGUACCAGAUGAAUAAGCACCGGCUAACUCCGUGCCAGCAGCCGCGGUAAUACGGAGGGUGCAAGCGUUAUCCGGAUUCACUGGGUUUAAAGGGUGCGUAGGCGGGUAUGUAAGUCAGCGGUGAAAUCCCCGAGCUUAACUUGGGAACUGCCGUUGAUACUAUAUAUCUUGAAUGUUGUGGAGGUUAGCGGAAUAUGUCAUGUAGCGGUGAAAUGCUUAGAUAUGACAUAGAACACCCAUUGCGAAGGCAGCUAACUACGCAAAUAUUGACGCUGAGGCACGAAAGCGUGGGGAUCAAACAGGAUUAGAUACCCUGGUAGUCCACGCCCUAAACGAUGAUUACUCGACAUUGGCGAUACACAGUCAGUGUCUGAGCGAAAGCAUUAAGUAAUCCACCUGGGAAGUACGAUCGCAAGAUUGAAACUCAAAGGAAUUGACGG